rnacentral:rRNA from 1 species
GGGGAUCGAAAGACCUUAUGCUUUUGGAGCGGCCGAUGUCUGAUUAGCUAGUUGGUAGGGUAAUGGCUUACCAAGGCGACGAUCAGUAGUUGGUCUGAGAGGACGGCCAGCCACACUGGGACUGAGACACGGCCCAGACUCCUACGGGAGGCAGCAGUGGGGAAUUUUGGACAAUGGGCGCAAGCCUGAUCCAGCAAUGCCGCGUGAGUGAAGAAGGCCUUCGGGUUGUAAAGCUCUUUCAGUUGAGAAGAAAAGGUCGUGACUAAUAAUCAUGACUCAUGACGGUAUCAACAGAAGAAGCACCGGCUAACUACGUGCCAGCAGCCGCGGUAAUACGUAGGGUGCAAGCGUUAAUCGGAAUUACUGGGCGUAAAGGGUGCGCAGGCGGUUCUGUAAGUCAGAUGUGAAAUCCCCGGGCUUAACCUGGGAACUGCGUUUGAAA